AACUGCGAAUCCUUAGAAGUCCUCAGGCAUCAACCUGAAAACAAAAUAUCAAAAACAGGUCGUCUUUUCUUAUUCUACCUCGGAUUGACCGAAUUUCGUUUGUUUACCCCUUUUUUUCUGGCUCUCUGCUUUUGCUAUUGCUAUAUAUGAUGGUGGUGUGGCGUCCGGUUUAAUCACGCUUUCUACUUUUUUAAACUCCCACCUCACUGCUCACCCUGCUCUUCCUUUGUGGUACUACCUAGCAUUAUUGCGUUGGCGAUGGUAGCUGACUCGUGGUUUAUUAAUUGGAGGUGGAAUUCACGAAAAGUCUCUGCAGAGACUGAUAAGGAAGUAAUCGGAGUAUUGGCAUAUGAAGUUGCAGGCUUGAUGUCCAAGGUCGUUAAUUUAUGGAACUAUUUGAGUGAUAGAGAGAUCCAUAGGUUGAGGGAAGAGAUUGUCAACUCAGUUGGAGUUAAAAGGCUUGUAGCUGAGGAUCAUGAUUGCCUGAUGGAUCUUGCACUAAAUGAGAUACUGGAGAAUUUCAGGCUAAUUGCAAGAUCUGUGGCUCGGCUUGGGAGGAAGUGCAAAGACCCUCCUUUCCUCCUAUUUGAACGUUUUGUUAAUGACCCGGUUGGGAAUAAUCUUGAGUGGUUUGGUUGGCAAUAUAGAUUAAAGAAGAUGGAGAGGAAAGUUAAAAAAAUGGAGAAAUUUGUUGAAGUAACAAUGCAAUUGUCUCAAGAGCUGGAAGUUCUUGCAGAACUUGAACAAACUCUUAGGAGACUGCGGGCCAAUGCUGACUUAGAUCGUGUGAAAUUGCUCCAAUUUCAGAAGAAAGUAAUUUGGCAGCAACAGGAAGUUAGAAAUCUGCGGGAGAUGUCACCAUGGAUUAGAACCUAUGAUUAUGUUGUCCGUCUUUUGGCAAGAUCACUUUUAACUAUACUUGAGAGAAUCAAGCAUGUUUUUGAGAUCAAUCAACUACCAUCUGCUCAGGGAAACAGCAAUUGCAAACAGAGGAAUCCUGAUUGUCUUCCUCAGACCCGUUCCUUUUCUGUUCUAAUGCAAUCUUCUAUACUUCCUUCAGAGGAUAUUCUACAUGGGUUCUCUUCAGAACCUACAGGAACAUCAGGUUCGACUUCAGGACUGGCUGCUGAGAAGUAUAAAAUAAGCAAGCAGCAGCUUCAACCUCAUCAUCAGUCAUCCAGCCUGCAUGGAAAGCAGUCUCGCUUGAAAACAAAAAGAUUGUCUCAUGUUGGUCCUUUUAAAGAAUGCAUGAUGAGCGGAAGUGAUUCUCCUAUUUUGCUGACCUGCAAUUCUGUUGUUGGUGGUUCUUUGAGGCUCACGAGUGACUAUAUGAAAAAAGUUGAUCUAAUGGAAAAAUCAAAUAUGGAAUCUCUUGCACGCAGCAACCGAUUUUAUUCUAAAUUAGCUCUAUUCAAUUCAAAGCAGGGGUUGUUGAAAGGUCCCUCACCCACUCUUGGUGCUGCUGCUUUAGCUCUCCAUUACGCAAAUUUGAUCAUAUUAAUUGAUAAGGUAGCUUCAUCAACUCAUAUGAUUGACUUUGAAACAAGAGAUGAACUAUAUGGCAUGUUACCCACAACUAUAAGAUCUGCUCUGAAGGCUAGGCUCAAGGCACAUGCCAAAUCUCUAGCUCCAUUUGUAUAUGAUGCUUCACUUGCAGCAGAGUGGAACCUGGCUUUGUCACAGAUAUUGGAAUGGCUGUCUCCACUGGCUCAUAACAUGAUAAGAUGGCAGUCCAAGCAAAACUUUGAGAGGGCACAUGAGGUUUCCAGCACAAAUGUACCCCUGUUUCAGACCCUCUAUUUUGCGGAUCAAGCAAAGACUGAGGCUGCAAUAACAGAACUUCUUGUUGGUCUGAACUACAUCUGCCGGUUUAACACAGAACAUGAUGAAAAAGCCUUGCCAGAGAUUCCGGGCUGCAGAGCUAGUUCCUUUUAUGAGCCAAAAAGGGAUCAUCACGCAUAUUAUAUGGCACAGGAUUGAACAGUUUCUCAUAGGUCUCAAAUGAUGAGGUGACAAAGUUCAUGAAAUGAUUUCAAUUGGGCUACCAGACCAUACUCCCAGAAAGCAACUUCUUAAUGCCUCAUCCUCACAUUAUUGAGAGACGCUGGAGCAUGUGCCAGUUUGGGCCAUAACGACCUAGUGCCAGUGAUCCUUGGCUGUAAUUAUGAGCUGUAAACACAAGGACUUUGCGAUCGCUGGAAGCAAGGUCAUGAUUCUUGAAUAAUCCUGCAGCAGUCUCGGCUGACUGUAUCACCAAGGUGUUUGUGCAUCCAAGUUUUAGCCAAUACAGGACCAUACUUUUCUUUGAGCUUGUACAAUGUCUGGUGUGGAAUGGCUCCAAGGUCAAAGAUGUUACCAAAGACUAGUCAUGCCGGGGGGCCCGGUGGUUGUUGUUUGUUAUCAACUCUCGAUUUUCUCUGUUUCAGUAGCAGAAACAAUGCCUCUGACAUGAAAAGACCCUACCCGGCAAGUAAAUUCCAGGCGCUCUCCAUUUUCGGUGUUCAGUUUUCUUCUUUGUUCUCCUAAUUUAUAUGCAAAAAACUUUUUGUUUCCAUAUCAUCAAAAGAUUUGGUGGUCCAAUUACUUGGAUUGCCCUGUGAUCAUGGGAACUUAUAUUAAGGUUUCUUCUAUUUGCUAUUGUAAAUUGAAAUAUAGUAUUCACAUUAAUCAUUUGUUUGAGGGUGUCUUCUGA